rnacentral:lncRNA from 1 species
CUUUAUUUUGAAAUAAUUCCAGAUUUCCAAAAGGUUAGAGAGACAGGCCGGCGUGUGGGCACCCUUCCCCAGAGGACCGCCUCUGAGCGCCACCUGGCCUGCGGGUCCUCAGGCCUCCCAGGACCCUGGCCCCGGCAGGCGCCUCUGAGGCGCACCCGUCUUCCCGUCACAGCUUGUCCCUCGGGCCCGGCUGGCCUGCGUGUUCUCACUACACUGAGGUGAUGCCGUCCUGCCAAGAAAACCGCAGAAGUGACCCUGCACCUUCUCGGGGCGUCAGGUGGCGGGGGUAGGGCCGUGGGGACCACGCCAACCCCUCACUGCUGAGCAGGUGCCUGCAGGGCGGCCUCCAGACCAGCGAAGCUGCUGCACAGCACAUGCCCCCAUCCCAGGCCACCGACACUCCCGGGCUUGCAGGUGGCGUCUCCUGCCCCCAGGCUGGCGGGAACCCAGAGGGGCUGCCCUUCCCGCACCGAGGCUUAGUUACUCGCUUCCAUCAGCACGGACUCCUGGACAGGAGCUUAUUUUGUGGGCUAUACCCCGUUUCCGCCACUUAUGCUGUGCCAAUGGGAGCUCCGAGACCUGUUCUUCAAGAAGCCCCGUCAUGUUUCAGCCAUUCCUUCCCCUAUCCCAUUUUUUUUGGUGGGGGGGUCUUUUGUCUUUUAGGGCAGCACCUGCGGCACAUGGAGGUUCCCAGGGGGAUGGAGGAGUUCCCGCUGUGGCGCAGCGGGAUGGGCAGCAUCUGCACCGCCGGGAUGCAGGUCUGAUCCCACUCAGCACAGUGGUUAAAGGACCCAGUGUUGCCACAGCCGAGACUCGGCGCUGAUCCCGGGCUGGGGAUCUACAUACACCUCGGGGCGGCCAAAAACAGUAAAAAAAACACCGACCCCGGGGGGAACGCAGGUGUGGAGGAGCAAAGCCCCAGAUCCUGACACUGAACCUGGCUGACGCUACCAGGGGUCAGGCCACCCCUGGCCUGGAACGUUUUUGUUAAAAACAAACUGAAAGUCUCCAGUCGAAAUAAACGACCGCGGCAGAAACACACAAGCCGGCCAGCCAGCCAGACGUCGCCCGAGCGGUCCUGAGGCCACCUUGAACUGUGGAAGCCGCCGAGCCGCCGGCUGCGUCCCCGUCUCCUGCCGUCCUCAGCAGCCCCAGAAGGCUGCUCCAGCGAAGCCGUGCUGAGCCCUGACAGGCUCCCUCCCGGGGCAAACGAGGGAAAAAGAGGCCCUCUGGCUGGUCCUGCCUGAAAGCCCUUGUCAGGACAGCCAGGGGCAGCUCUGGGCGCCAGACCAGCCAAACCCUCCAGAGCGGCCUCAGGAGGGAGCGGAAGGCGCUGUGCUGGCCCAGAGACAACUGCCCCGAGCUCCAGGGACACAGCUCAGACCCUCACGGGGGCAGACACCAGCUGCAAAGGAUCGCCAGGGCACAGCAGCACCGAGAGGAAACUCGCUGGGCCACUGAAAGACAGUGACUGCUAGGCGUUCAUGUGCUCCUUAAAGACGGCAGGAGCCGCCUGCAGGCCUUUCGUCAAGCCUCACCCCCAGGAGCCUGAGCAGCUCAGAAGGCACGACAAGGGGGUCACUUGAGGGCCCUGCGCCCAGAAGGUCCAUCAGCCUCGAAGUCCCAAACGUCCACAGCCAGCCUUCAACACACCUGCGGCCUGAAAACCACAGCAGGUCCUGCCCGGAGCGGAGCGUGAGUUCACUCCGGGAAAAUGAAACAGGGCUCGGAGUGGACGGAUUUACGUCAACCUGCCUUCAGACAAGGCUUCUCACGACUGGACUCCUUAGCGAGCUAAUGAAGGGCUCAAAAGGCAGAAAUAAGACUUCCCACCCCGUGGAGUUCCCGUCGUGGCACAGUGGUUAGAGACUCCCACUAGGAACCAUGAGGUUGCGGGUUCGAUCCCUGGCCUCGCUCCGUGGGUCAGGGAUCCGGCGCUGCCAUGAGCUGUGGUGUAGGUCGCAGACUUGGCUCGGAUCCCACGUGGCUGUUGUGCAGGGCGGUGGCUACAGCUCCGAUUAGACCCCCUAGCCUGGGAA